rnacentral:rRNA from 1 species
GGGUGAGUAACGCGUGAGAAUCUGGCUUCAGGUCGGGGACAACCACUGGAAACGGUGGCUAAUACCGGAUAUGCCGAGAGGUGAAAGAUUAAUUGCCUGAAGAUGAGCUCGCGUCUGAUUAGCUAGUUGGGAGUGUAAGARACUACCAAGGSGACGAUCAGUAGCUGGUCUGARAGGAUGAUCAGCCACACUGGGACUGARACACGGCCCAGACUCCUACGGGAGGCAGCAGUGGGGAAUUUUCCGCAAUGGGCGAAAGCCUGACGGARCAAUACCGCGUGAGGGAGGAAGGCUCUUGGGUUGUAAACCUCUUUUCUCAAGGAAGAAAAAAAUGACGGUACUUGAGGAAUAAGCAUCGGCUAACUCCGUGCCAGCAGCCGCGGUAAUACGGAGGAUGCAAGCGUUAUCCGGAAUGAUUGGGCGUAAAGCGUCCGCAGGUGGCUGUGAAAGUCUGCUGUUAAAGAAUGAGGCUCAACCUCAUCAGARCAGUGGAAACUACACGGCUAGAGUGCGUUCGGGGUAGAGGGAAUUCCUGGUGUAGCGGUGAAAUGCGUAGAUAUCAGGAAGAACACCGGUGGCGAAGGCGCUCUACUAGGCCGCAACUGACACUGAGGGACGAAAGCUAGGGGAGCGAAUGGGAUUAGAUACCCCAGUAGUCCUAGCCGUAAACGAUGGAUACUA